UACGGGGGGGGCAAGCGUUGUUCGGAAUUACUGGGCGUAAAGGGCUCGUAGGCGGUCUGUUGCGUCGGGAGUGAAAACUUACAGCUUAACUGUGAGCGUGCUUCCGAUACGGGCAGACUUGAGGUAUUCAGGGGAGAACGGAAUUCCUGGUGUAGCGGUGAAAUGCGCAGAUAUCAGGAGGAACACCGGUGGCGAAGGCGAUUCUCUGGGAAUAUCCUGACGCUGAGGAGCGAAAGUGUGGGGAGCGAACAGG
rnacentral:rRNA from 1 species